CAGUAGCCGCGGGAAUACGUAGGGGGCAAGCGUUAUCCGGAUUUACUGGGUGUAAAGGGAGCGUAGACGGAAUGGCAAGUCUGAAGUGAAAUGCCCGGGCUCAACCCGGGAACUGCUUUGGAAACUGUCGAUCUGGAGUGUUGGAGAGGUAAGUGGAAUUCCUGGUGUAGCGGUGAAAUGCGUAGAGAUCAGGAAGAACACCGGAGGCGAAGGCGGCUUACUGGACAAAGACUGACGUUGAGGCUCGAAAGCGUGGGAAGCAAACAGGAUUAGAUACCCCUGUAGUCCCUGUCUCUUAUAA
rnacentral:rRNA from 1 species